UACGUAGGGUGCGAGCGUUGUCCGGAAUUAUUGGGCGUAAAGAGCUCGUAGGCGGUCUGUCGCGUCGGUCGUGAAAACUUGGGGCUUAACCCUGAGCUUGCGGUCGAUACGGGCAUGACUGGAGUUCGGUAGGGGAGACUGGAAUUCCUGGUGUAGCGGUGAAAUGCGCAGAUAUCAGGAGGAACACCGGUGGCGAAGGCGGGUCUCUGGGCCGAUACUGACGCUGAGGAGCGAAAGCCAGGGGAGCGAACGGG
rnacentral:rRNA from 1 species